rnacentral:rRNA from 1 species
GAUGAACGCUGGCGGCGUGCCUAAUACAUGCAAGUCGAGCGAACAGACGAGAGUGCUUGCACUCUCUGACGUUAGCGGCGGACGGGUGAGUAACACGUGGGUAACCUACCUAUAAGACUGGGAUAACUUCGGGAAACCGGAGCUAAUACCGGAUAAUAUUUAGCUUCGCAUGAAGCAAUAGUGAAAGACGGUUCUGCUGUCACUUAUAGAUGGACCCGCGGUGUAUUAGCUAGUUGGUGAGGUAACGGCUCACCAAGGCAACGAUACAUAGCCGACCUGAGAGGGUGAUCGGCCACACUGGGACUGAGACACGGCCCAGACUCCUACGGGAGGCAGCAGUAGGGAAUCUUCCGCAAUGGACGAAAGUCUGACGGAGCAGUGCCGCGUGAGUGAAGAAGGUUUUCGGAUCGUAAAACUCUGUUGUAAGGGAAGAACAAGUACGUUAGUAACUGAACGUACCUUGACGGUACCUUACCAGAAAGCCACGGCUAACUACGUG